GGAAGUGUGGCAGAAAGGUAAUGCAGCGGCUUGCUAAGCCGUCGUCGUGGCGCUCCCGCGGCUUGGGGGUUCGAAUCCCUCCACUUCCG
rnacentral:tRNA from 1 species